rnacentral:lncRNA from 1 species
UGCAGUGGUCAGCACCUUACUGGGUCAUCUUUUGGAGUUCUUUGGCUCAACUUACGUGAAACCUACUCUAGUAAAUUUAAAGGAAAAGGUAAAUACAUUGGAAGGCUGGAGAGGAGCUGGUAGAAUUUUUAAAAAUCCUGAAAGCCAGACCUCAGAAAGGAUGGGUACAGAAGAAGCAGCGGGGAUUUUCACAGCAGGAACUGGGCUCCAAGCAACAUCUAACUGUGUCACUUUGAUGGAGAAACAGACUGGAUCAAGGCUCACCUCUACACCCUGGGGGCAGUGCGUCUCAUCAGGCCUGCCGGAUAAUGUCCUGGAAUUAGGAAGCAGCUAGUACAAUGAAGGAAAACGGAGGAAUAUACUAACACAGGACGUGGGCAGUGUGGCAAGCCAGCCAAAACAAAAGAGUCCACUCUACCCUUUAAUUAAACAGGUUGAGG